GAGAGCUUGCUCUCUGGGUGGCGAGUGGCGGACGGGUGAGGAAUACAUCGGAAUCUACCUAGUCGUGGGGGAUAACGUAGGGAAACUUACGCUAAUACCGCAUACGACCUUCGGGUGAAAGUGGGGGACCUUCGGGCCUCACGCGAUUAGAUGAGCCGAUGUCGGAUUAGCUAGUUGGAGGGGUAAUGGCCCACCAAGGCGACGAUCCGUAGCUGGUCUGAGAGGAUGAUCAGCCACACUGGAACUGAGACACGGUCCAGACUCCUACGGGAGGCAGCAGUGGGGAAUAUUGGACAAUGGGCGCAAGCCUGAUCCAGCCAUACCGCGUGGGUGAAGAAGGCCUUCGGGUUGUAAAGCCCUUUUGUUGGGAAAGAAAUCCCAUUGAUUAAUACUCGGUGGGGAUGACGGUACCCAAAGAAUAAGCACCGGCUAACUUCGUGCCAGCAGCCGCGGUAAUACGAAGGGUGCAAGCGUUACUCGGAAUUACUGGGCGUAAAGCGUGCGUAGGUGGUUGUUUAAGUCUGCUGUGAAAGCCCUGGGCUCAACCUGGGAAUUGCAGUGGAUACUGGGCGACUAGAGUGUGGUAGAGGAUAGUGGAAUUUCCGGUGUAGCAGUGAAAUGCGUAGAGAUCGGAAGGAACAUCUGUGGCGAAGGCGACUAUCUGGGCCAACACUGACACUGAGGCACGAAAGCGUGGGAAGCAAACAGGAUUAGAUACCCUGGUAGUCCACGCCCUAAACGAUGCGAACUGGAUGUUGGGUUCAACUUGGAACCCAGUAUCGAAGCUAACGCGUUAAGUUCGCCGCCUGGGGAGUACGGUCGCAAGACUGAAACUCAAAGGAAUUGACGGGGGCCCGCACAAGCGGUGGAGUAUGUGGUUUAAUUCGAUGCAACGCGAAGAACCUUACCU
rnacentral:rRNA from 1 species